rnacentral:rRNA from 1 species
CUAAGAAUCUUCCGCAAUGGGCGAAAGCCUGACGGAGCGAUGCCGCGUGAUCGAUGAAGGUCGAGAGAUUGUAAAGAUCUUUUCCACGUGAGGAAUAAGGGUCGGAGGGAAUGCCGGUCUGAUGACGUUAGCGUGGGAAUAAGCCCCGGCUAAUUACGUGCCAGCAGCCGCGGUAACACGUAAGGGGCGAGCGUUGUUCGGAAUUAUUGGGCGUAAAGGGCACGCAGGCGGUUAUGCAAGUCCGAUGUGAAAGACCUGGGCUUAACUCAGGGGCCGCGUUGGAAACUGCAUGACUAGAGUAUUAGAGGGGGAGUCGGAAUUCCUAGUGUAGGGGUGAAAUCUGUUGAUAUUAGGAAGAACACCGGUGGCGAAGGCGGACUCCUGGCUGGAUACUGACGCUGAGGUGCGAAAGCAUAGGGAGCAAACAGG